UACGUAGGGGGCUAGCGUUGUCCGGAAUUAUUGGGCGUAAAGAGCUCGUAGGCGGUCUGUCGCGUCGGUCGUGAAAACUUGGGGCUUAACCCUGAGCUUGCGGUCGAUACGGGCAUGACUGGAGUUCGGCAGGGGAGACUGGAAUUCCUGGUGUAGCGGUGAAAUGCGCAGAUAUCAGGAGGAACACCGGUGGCGAAGGCGGGUCUCUGGGCCGAUACUGACGCUGAGGAGCGAAAGCGUGGGGAGCGAACAGG
rnacentral:rRNA from 1 species